rnacentral:lncRNA from 1 species
AAGAAGUUCGAAGAAUCAACAAAAAAUGGAGAGAGAUGAGUAAGAAAGUGAGUUUAGAUAUUGAAAAAGAAUGGGAGAAAUUGAAUUUUGAAAUUGAUUCCAACAAAGCAGAAAACAACAGUAGCAGCAGCAUCAGUCCUGCAAGGAGAUUUUUUUGUUUGGCCUCAAGCAAAUGCAAUAAGGACUGGGUUAUAUCAGUUUGGUUUUCUCCUAGAUUAAAGUUUACAAAUAACAAAUAAAACUAAUUAAAAUUGAUACAAAUCUAAAAAAAAAUCUGAAAUUUAACAAAAACAAAUCAAUCAUUGGAGAAAACCAUCUAAACGCCACUAACUCCUAAAAAGUAGGGAUUAUUAACUAAACGAUAGAAACAAAUCCUAAUAAAUAUGACAACUAAGCAACAAUAUUUUCAAAGAAAUAGAAAAAGGAUCGUUAAAUCGGAUAUAAGAAACAGUAUUGAAGAAGAAUAGGCAUUUCAAAGAAGAAAACAUACCUUUUUCCUCAAAUUCAUGAACAACAAUAUCUGGUAAUUGAAUUCUGAAACACUUUGGUCCAUUUUUAUUCANNN